UACGGGGGGGGCAAGCGUUGUUCGGAAUUACUGGGCGUAAAGGGCUCGUAGGCGGCCAACUAAGUCAGACGUGAAAUCCCCAGGCUUAACCUGGGAACUGCGUCUGAUACUGGAUAGCUUGAAUCCGGGAGAGGGAUGCAGAAUUCCAGGUGUAGCGGUGAAAUGCGUAGAUAUCUGGAGGAAUACCGGUGGCGAAGGCGGCAUCCUGGACCGGCAUUGACGCUGAGGAGCGAAAGCUAGGGGAGCAAACGGG
rnacentral:rRNA from 1 species